rnacentral:rRNA from 1 species
GAUGAACGCUGGCGGCGUGCCUAAUACAUGCAAGUCGAGCGAACAGACGAGGAGCUUGCUCCUCUGACGUUAGCGGCGGACGGGUGAGUAACACGUGGAUAACCUACCUAUAAGACUGGGAUAACUUCGGGAAACCGGAGCUAAUACCGGAUAAUAUAUUGAACCGCAUGGUUCAAUAGUGAGAGACGGUUUUGCUGUCACUUAUAGAUGGAUCCGCGCCGCAUUAGCUAGUUGGUAAGGUACCGGCUUACCAAGGCAACGAUGCGUAGCCGACCUGAGAGGGUGAUCGGCCACACUGGAACUGAGACACGGUCCAGACUCCUACGGGAGGCAGCAGUAGGGAAUCUUCCGCAAUGGGCGAAAGCCUGACGGAGCAACGCCGCGUGAGUGAUGAAGGUCUUCGGAUCGUAAAACUCUGUUAUUAGGUGAGAACAAAUGUGUAAGUAACUAUGCACGUCUUGACGGUACCUAAUCAGAAAGCCACGGCUAACUACGUG